rnacentral:rRNA from 1 species
GGGGAAUUUUCCGCAAUGGGCGAAAGCCUGACGGAGCAAUACCGCGUGAGGGAGGAAUGCCUUUGGGUUGUAAACCUCUUUUCUCAGGGAAGAAGAUCUGACGGUACCUGAGGAAUAAGUAUCGGCUAACUCCGUGCCNGCAGCCGCGGUAAUACGGAGGAUGCAAGCGUUAUCCGGAAUCAUUGGGCGUAAAGCGUCCGCAGGUGGUUUCCAAAGUCUGCUGUUAAAGACUGGAGCUCAACUCCGGAACGGCGGUGGAAACUUGGAAACUAGAGUUCGGUAGGGGUAGCAGGAAUUCCCAGUGUAGCGGUGAAAUGCGUAGAUAUUGGGAAGAACAUCGGUGGCGAAGGCGUGCUACUGGACCGUAACUGACACUCAGGGACGAAAGCUAGGGGAGCGAAAGGGAUUAGAUACCCCUGUAGUCCUAGCUGUAAACGAUGGAAACUAGGUGUGGCUUG